GCCUUCGUUGUGUUGUGGUCAGCACACUCGGUGCGUAUUCGAGAGGUCCGUGGUUCGAGUCCCGGCGAGGGCA
rnacentral:tRNA from 1 species